rnacentral:rRNA from 1 species
AUUGAACGCUGGCGGCAUGCCUUACACAUGCAAGUCGAACGGCAGCAUGGAAGAGCUUGCUCUUCUGAUGGCGAGUGGCGAACGGGUGAGUAAAGCAUCGGAACGUACCGUGUAGUGGGGGAUAACGUAGCGAAAGUUACGCUAAUACCGCAUACGCACUGAGGUGGAAAGCAGGGGAUCGCAAGACCUUGCGCUAUACGAGCGGCCGAUGUCAGAUUAGCUAGUUGGUAGGGUAAAGGCCUACCAAGGCGACGAUCUGUAGCGGGUCUGAGAGGAUGAUCCGCCACACUGGGACUGAGACACGGCCCAGACUCCUACGGGAGGCAGCAGUGGGGAAUUUUGGACAAUGGGCGAAAGCCUGAUCCAGCCAUGCCGCGUGAGUGAAGAAGGCCUUCGGGUUGUAAAGCUCUUUCGGCUGGGAAGAAAUCGCACAGGCUAAUACUCUGUGUGGAUGACGGUACCAGCACAAGAAGCACCGGCUAACUACGUGCCAGCAGCCGCCGUAA